GUGGGGAAUAUUGGACAAUGGGCGAAAGCCUGAUCCAGCCAUGCCGCGUGUGUGAAGAAGGUCUUCGGAUUGUAAAGCACUUUAAGUUGGGAGGAAGGGCAGUAAGUUAAUACCUUGCUGUUUUGACGUUACCGACAGAAUAAGCACCGGCUAACUUCGUGCCAGCAGCCGCGGUAAUACGAAGGGUGCAAGCGUUAAUCGGAAUUACUGGGCGUAAAGCGCGCGUAGGUGGUUUUGUAAGUUGGAGGUGAAAACCCCGGGCUCAAACUGGGAACUGCCUCCAAAACUGCAUGACUAGAGUACGGUAGAGGGUAGUGGAAUUUCCUGUGUAGCGGUGAAAUGCGUAGAUAUAGGAAGGAACACCAGUGGCGAAGGCGACUACCUGGACUGAUACUGACACUGAGGUGCGAAAGCGUGGGGAGCAAACAGGAUUAGAAACCCGGGUAGUCC
rnacentral:rRNA from 1 species